GAGGUGGUGCAUGGCCGUCGUCAGUUCGUACUGUGAAGCAUCCUGUUAAGUCAGGCAACGAGCGAGACCCACGCCCACAGUUGCCAGCGUACUCUCCGGAGUGACGGGUACACUGUGGGGACCGCCGCUGCUAAAGCGGAGGAAGGAAUGGGCAACGGUAGGUCAGUAUGCCCCGAAUAUCCCGGGCUACACGCGAGCUACAAUGGUUGGUACAAUGGGUAUCUACCCCGAAAGGGGACGGGAAUCUCCUAAAACCAAUCUUAGUUCGGAUUGAGGGCUGCAACUCGCCCUCAUGAAGCUGGAAUCCGUAGUAAUCGCGUUUCAACAGAACGCGGUGAAUACGUCCCUGCUCCUU
rnacentral:rRNA from 1 species